UUUAUGUUUCUGGUGUGUAGGUAUGGCGAGUUAAAGAUUUUGAAUGUGGGGUGUAAUCUAUAAUUAGUAUACUGGAGGCCACCGCUGCUGCUAAAUCCACCGUCAGAGAAGAAAGUCAUUGCAAAGAGGGGAGAGAAAAAAUUGGAAGAAAAGUAGAGAGGAAGACCCGAAGCAGAAAACGUGGGAGAGGAGGAGCCCUUCAGCUACCAUACACCGCCGCUUCACCGUCGUCACCGUCGGAAAGGACCAUAGCCACCGUGCCCUUGACCUGGUCUAUCUUUGCCCCCCUUAUCUGUUCUGCCUCUGCCAUGGGAUUUAUUUUGAUAAAUUUAUUUUUUAAAUUGCUAUUUUGCUAUUUUCCCUUUCUGCUCUUCCCCUGCCAUUAAAAAUCAUGAGACAGAAGUGCAAGUAUGAACUUAAGAUUCCAUGAUGCAAAUGGCGUGUCACUAGCAUUUAGUGUUCUUGAGAAGCUUAUUCAGCUUUUAGGGAGCAAAAGUAGCCUCAUUGAAGUAGGUUCUAAACUUCACACGGUAUAGUACUACUACAUAAGCUAAGAAUUUCCUUCAGUAUAGAAGAAACUUUUGCAUCAUCAAUUUAACAUUUUUGCCCUGGAAUAUAUCUUCUGUCUUUUUUGUCAAUGAAUCAGUCUUAUAUGUUCUUAUUUUGCAGAUCCAUGCCAUGUUUGAUUUGAGUUAUCUGUGGGGAUUUAAUUUAAAGUGAGAUUUUAUCUACGACAAAGUUAUAAAUUUGGUUACAGUACAUUUUAUGUAGAGGGCUGAAUUUUACUAUUUUAAUUAAUUUCCAAAAUUUUUAUUUGAACCUUUUGUAAAAGUUAUUUGUUUAUCUGGUCAUUUGUUACAAAUGAAUGUGCCUUCAAGAAUUAGCAGGUAAGAGGGAGAGAUAAUUUUUUAAACAUUUUAAAACAUGAAUCUGUGAAUUAUGAAGUAUUUUCUUGGUUAGUAUAUCGGUGCUUUUUUUUGUUUUAAUUGGAUACCUUUUUGGCUUUACUAUGUUUAUUGAUAUGCUAUUUAUUUCGAAUUGGAUGAUGAUGCCAAUGGGUCAUUUAACAAUCCAUCUUAGUUCUCUUUCUCUUUAAUAUUUUUUUUGGUUGCAUUAUGUGUUGCUCAUUGAGUAGAGGAAGAUGGUCAGUAUUUAUUAUGUGCUUUCUGCAUAAAGCAUAUGGUUUUCUGUUGGUUUUAAAUUAUUAUUUGCUUAAAAUUUCUUUCUUCUUUUGGUUUUAAUUGUUUGUUGUGUGAUCAUAAUUGAUGUGAUUUAGUGUUUCAGUGUUAUCAUGUUUGUGUAUAUGCAAAAUGGGAUGAAAAUCUGUCUUCAUCAGUGAUGUUUUUACUGGACUGAGUGAAAAAAAAAAAAAAAAUAAUUAAGUUCUUUCAUUUCCUUUUUUGCAGCUUCGAUACUUCUAUAGGCAGCCACCACUAUGUGGAAACUUAGUCCAUAGUGUGCAUAAUUUAAUUAUAAGAUUUUCUUCCUAAAAUUUGUUUGGUAAUGUGUUAUGUUUGGUUCUUUCUAUGCUAUAUAUGUUUUGGCAAGAUGUUAUUUUUCACUUUUUUCUUAAAUAAAAUAAUCUCCCCCCUUCUUAAUUUAUGCUUUAUGCAUUGUCUCGAUUCAAGAUUGAAUUCCAAAUCUAAAUGCAUAUAGUAUAGAUUACAUUAAUUUUUUGUGAGUGUGUUUAUUGGUACUUUGAUUUCUUUUGUUCUUUGUUAGUAAAAUCAAAAUUAGUCUUCUAAUAUGAUUCCUUAUGGAGACAAUAUGUCAUCACUUUAUGGUUGGUUGGUCGGUCUAUUUCAAUCUAUGCCAAAUUAAUAAUCAUAGACCUAUAAAUAUAAUUUAACUCAUCUUUUUGUUCUCUUGAGUUUAUUUUUCUUUUUCAUGAUUGUUUUUAUGAAUAGAUGGAGUGUUAUUGGUACAGUAUGAGUACUGCAAAUGUAGUUGAGUGUGAUACUAUGGUUUAUUUAUAGGUUGAAGUUUAUUUCUUAGUAAAGUACCUUGCUUUAGUUAGGACUUUUUGUUCUAUUGUAGAAUCAUUUCUAAGCUUCACUCUCUGUCAUAUUUUUUUGAAGCUGCAGUUACAAUUGGUUUAAACAAUUUUUAGGCCUAUGUUAUAGAACUUCACGAAACUACUUGGAUUUUUAGGCUGAAAAUAGAGAAAACAAAAUGCUUAUUUCACAGGCUGUUAUUUUUUUUCUCAUGAAGUUUUCUCUUAUAUUAAGAUAAAUUCCUCUUCUAUUUAUGUUGUGUUUAUGUUGAACAAACUUGCCGCAAAAAAUGCCACCAUGUAUUUGUGAAUUUUCAGGUUCAUGUGUUUUCUAUAGGGAAUGGAGUAUGUGUUGCAUGGAGUCAUUGCUUUGGGAAUAAUGACUGCUGGUGGUGUACUCUCAGAAGUGUAUCUAGCAUCACAUGUUUUAUAGAUUAAGAAGCAAGGUGAUUUUGCUGAUUUUAUUGUCACACUUUAAACUAUGACAAGAUAAUUGUUUUAAGUAGAAUUAUGUAAUUCCUUUUUUUGUUAAACAAA